ensembl:lncRNA
GUGGUCUGAGGCAUAUAGAGUAUAUGCCAAGAACACUACCAUAUAUGGCAUCAGCUUUGGUUACCAGAGAAAUUUUUCUUAGUCAUUAGACCAUAUAACAGUAAUAUAUCAUAUGUAAAUCUUUAGAUAUCAAUUUGAGAAUCCUCCAAAAAAAGGAGCAAAGAAUGCAUAAGCUAUGUGUUGGCAAAAGUAAUUUAUAUUAAAAUUUUGACCUGCCUAUGUAAGAUUAAGUGGUAAUGUCAUAGUGGUGGGUUUUUAAGUCUUAACCAAUCUCUAAGGUUUGUUUCUCCUGCAAGGGAUGGUUCAUGGCCUCUCUUCCCACUGCAGGAAGAUUGCAGAAGGCUGUGGAUUAAUUGUAGCAUUUCACUGAUCUUCAUUCCAGUCACUAGGGACAAUAGAAACCUGCAAAACACAGGGAUUCAUUCGUAAAUAUUAUUAAUAGUUUAUUAAAGGGAAAUGGUCUUUGUUAAUUCCAGUCAGAUUGUACAGACAUGGGAAACAACCAAUUUUUUUUUCAGUUGUUGCUAUGAAUGAUUUUGAGCCUUUUUUUUUUAAGCUUGGCAAACAUCCCAGCUAAUCAAAAUAGUCAUAUUCCUGAGAAGUAGGAAACUAAAACUUUUCAGAUAAUCGUUAGAAGGUUUGUUUCCCAAACUACCAUAGUUACAAAGAAGAAAAGCCAAAUUUUAGGAACAUAAUCAAAAGAAUAAAAAUCUGUGAAGAGAUCCUACUACUCUUCCUACUAUGUUUUGGUUUCUAUUGUCCCUGCCUGUCAUUUCAGCAAGUGGAACAGCAGCAAGUUUUUCAGUGCAUAUGCUGCACAGAACAAAAUAUAAAUCUGUAUGGCACCAAAAAUCAAAGUGAAAACCAAACCAAAAACCCAAACACCCUAUGUAACUAUCGGAGGCAUGUAGGUGGUAUAAAUGACUGUAGCUGUGAUACACACAUGGCUACUUGUCACAUCACUUUCCAUAAUUAUUUACUGCAAAAUGAUUGAGAGGCUUUUGGUGCAGGCAGCCAUUAACCUCCUGCUUCCUUUGUUACCUCUGGAUUACUUUGCAGUAAAUUGCAGGUCUUUUAAGAGAUUCAAGCUUCAGUUUUCUCAAAACAAAACAAUUAUCCUGUCUUACCUGAAAAUGCAGGGUUGUGGGCAAAAGAGGCUGGUUAUAAUAAUGCCCUCAUAUUGAGUGGUCUGUAAAUGGCUGCACACUUCAGGCACUGUAGUUGCUGAAGAUGCUUUGUUAAAUGUGACCUUGACUGGCUUUACAGGGGUGUAGAAUGUAAUCUACACAAGGUGACUUUGCAUCUAUCUUGCUCUUGAGGUGGAUGAAAUUGAGAAGCUGGAGUGUGUAAGCCAUGCACAUAAGUAUUCUUCACUGUAAAUUUUGUUUUCAUUUUUAACCCAAUUAUGGUACUUUAUCCAAUGCACAACUGAUCUCUCAGUAGAUAUUCAUUUGAAAAUAGUGUGGCCUUGAUCAGUGAGAAAGGGAAGGAGAAAAGUGACUUUUUUGCUUAUAUAGAAAUGACUCAUUUGCUGAGAGUUAGUCUUUCUGCAGCACUCUUGGUAUAAUGUUAGAGAUCGGUCUCCUUUUUGAUUGGGGAAAAUUAAUGUUUUUGACCCUGGAGUUAAUUCAGUUGAGUUAUCUUCUAUUUUUAGGAAGUAUCAGAAUUGCUCUGAUGAAUAACAAAGUUGACUGUUUUGAUGUCCAAUCUCAGGUUUUAGAAUAUAGUGGUGUAAAGUCCCACUAUUUUUAAUUCUUAAAACAAUUUUAAUUUCGUAAACCCUAAAAGUCACAUGCAUAAGGCCUGUUCAGAGAGCAGAGCCUCCAUCUUUUUGCUCCUUUUCUACUUUAUACUUGACUUGAAAAAAUGUCAAGUGACUUUACAUUGUAUAUUUCCAUUUUAACCCUGACGUUUCUCAAAGAUAAAGCACUUUUUGAUCAUGAAAUACAUGAAAUCUUUGUGUGAUGUGGAUCAUAGUUUCUCAGGCUCCCUUAGAUAAUUGCUUAUGAAUAUUGUUAUAACUCUGUGUAAGAAGAAUAGAAAUCUUUGCUAAUGUUAGAAGGUUUGUAUUAUUGAUCCAGAAUGCAUUUUGCUAGUUUCCAAUGGAUGGGAGAGUAAACAAUGCUGCAUUCACAAUUUAAUAAGUUACUUUCCCUUGAGCCUUAAGGUAACUUUUUCUUUUCUGUCAACCACAGCACUGAAGUUAUAGUAAGUGAAUGAGAUUAUCAGUUUUCAGGGUUGGUUUUAGAGUACUGUAAAUCAAUUAGCUGUCUUCCUAAAGAGUUACAACUCCCAUUCAGUAUACUGGAUAAUGGGUGUGUGGGUGGGGCUGGGGAGGGCGGGAGAUAGUUUGUAGAAAAGAAAAAAGAAAAAAAAAAAAA